rnacentral:rRNA from 1 species
UACGUAGGUGACAAGCGUUGUUCGGAAUAACUGGGCGUAAAGGAUGCGUAGGCGGUUAAACAAGUUAUAUGUUAAAUAUAUAGGCUUAACCUGUAGAAAGCAUAUAAAACUGUUUAACUAGAGUGCAGGAGAGGUAAGCGGAAUUCCUAGUGUAGCGGUGAAAUGCGUAGAGAUUAGGAAGAACACCAGUGGCGAAGGCGACUUACUGGACUGUAACUGACGCUGAGGCAUGAGAGCAUGGGGAGCAAACAGG